UACGUAGGGGGCAAGCGUUGUCCGGAAUCAUUGGGCGUAAAGCGCGGGCAGGCGGUCUUGCCAGUCUGAUGUGAAAUCUCCUCGCUCAACGGGGAGCAGCCAUUGGAAACUACAAGACUGGAGUCUGACAGAGGUAGGCGGAAUUCCGGGUGGAGUGGUGAAAUGCGUAGAGAUCCGGAGGAACACCAGAGGCGAAGGCGGCCUACUGGGUCAGUACUGAGGCUGAGCCGCGAAAGCCAGGGGAGCGAACGGG
rnacentral:rRNA from 1 species